UGGGGAAUUUUGGACAAUGGGCGAAAGCCUGAUCCAGCAAUGCCGCGUGUGUGAAGAAGGCCUUCGGGUUGUAAAGCACUUUUGUCCGGAAAGAAAUGGCUCUGGUUAAUACCUGGGGUCGAUGACGGUACCGGAAGAAUAAGGACCGGCUAACUACGUGCCAGCAGCCGCGGUAAUACGUAGGGUCCAAGCGUUAAUCGGAAUUACUGGGCGUAAAGCGUGCGCAGGCGGUUGUGCAAGACCGAUGUGAAAUCCCCGAGCUUAACUUGGGAAUUGCAUUGGUGACUGCACGGCUAGAGUGUGUCAGAGGGGGGUAGAAUUCCACGUGUAGCAGUGAAAUGCGUAGAGAUGUGGAGGAAUACCGAUGGCGAAGGCAGCCCCCUGGGAUAACACUGACGCUCAUGCACGAAAGCGAGGGGAGCAAACAGG
rnacentral:rRNA from 1 species